rnacentral:lncRNA from 1 species
AUCGGUCUCAUUGUGUCCAUGGAAGGGUAUUGGUAAAAUACCUCUUCAUAACGCUUCUUGUUAUUUUGCAUAUUUCUACAUUUCUUUAACAGUUAGAACGUGAAAUUGGGCCCAACGACACCAACAGCUGUUUAAAAGUCUGUAAGUAGACACACAUAUACACACAUACACUCCGGGUCAGGAGAAUAGCGUCUACACAGUGAGACAUGCAUGCUUAACCAUAUAUAAAAUGAAUUAUUAUUAACUAUAAUCACUACAAUUAUGCCAUUUAAUUCAUUUAAUUAAUUAAUUCUUACUUUAUAUUUUGAUUAUAUUAUUUUUAUUCAUAUUUGAUCAUUCUCUUGAAUUCCUAUGUAUUAAAUUAGUCCCACAUAUAUAAUACACAUGCAGUAAAAAUAGUUUUAAGGGAUAGGGUAGAAAUAAUGGGGGUUACAAACAACCUGAAGUCAUACAAGUCAAAGUAAAAUUAUAACGAUUUAACAUGAAUUUCUAAUCUGAUUUUUGGGAGGGGUUCCUAAGGCACAUAGGCAGCAGCGGCAGGUCUUGGGUAGAACCAUAAUGGCAUAUUCUUAUGUUAUUCUACAUGGAGGGUGGGUCAAGAGGGAAGAGCACAUCCACCUUGCUCUUCACAGUAGGUAGUGGACCUUAAGUUCCGUCCGGGUUUGUAAUUCCGAUCCCAGUUCCCGUAAAUCUGUCUACGAUUUUGUUAGGUGACGGAGUUCGUUUUCGCAGCACACCACCCACCCCAUUUUCCCUGAGCCUAGCCGGCAAACUUUUAGUAGACAGAGAGUGCUGACGAGACGACACUUCCCGUGUCCGUUACAUAAUAAAUGGCGCCCAACGUGGGGCCCGAAUGGUCCGUUUUCCCCAAUAACCUUCCCCAAUCCCUUCCGCAACCCAAUAUUGAUCCAAAUUUUAAAGUAGUUCUGUUUUUGUGUUAUAUAUCCAGCUCGGAACCGCUGGGAAUAUGAUCAUUGUCGGACCCAAACCAGUGGAUAUAUUGCAUAGAAGAAGAUCACAGUAGACUUCAUUAUAUCAUUUCAUCAGGAUACUAGGAACGAUAGUUCUGAGUAAAUUGGUUCUAUACCUAGUAGCGAAGAUGAAUGACCUUUAUUCUCUCGAGAUUAGUUGAGACUUGUUCAGACUGGAGAAUUCGGUCCUGUUCCUCCUUUUCUCGAAAGGAUCAUCAACCAAAUUUUCUUUUCUUUCUUUCUGCUUACGGACUUAAGGUUAUAACCACCGAAGACAUUCCUUCUGCUGUGCUGGUGCCUGGUAGGAGACCCUCCCAAUCAUUGCCCAUAUUUUCGAAUUUAGAAUCAAAAAAAAAAAAUCUUUCUGGUCUUAAAGACCAUAUUGUUAUAUAACUUAUAUCGUUUUUCCUUAAUCACAAUUUGUUACAAUGGCGGUAAGGCGAAGUAUUGACAAAAUAAAUGUUAAUAUCGGCGAGGUAGUCGUACACUGCACUAUAUGCAAUGAUACUAGCCAGGACACCGACAUUGUAGAAACCCAUUGCAAACACAAAUACCACAGGUCGUGUUUAUCGGAUUGGUUGACAUCCAAUGAGACAUGCCCGAUUUGUAGGCAGCUGUGUUCGUUACCGUUGCGUUCAUAAUCUCAAUCGAAUUUACAGAGUGGGGAAAAUGCCGCGGAAAGGGUUAACCGAUCGAUUAAUGCCGCGCUCAGAGCGUACGUUCGUACUGACCAUCGUGAAUGGGAUGUGUUCCUUAGUAGCAUAAACUGUUCGUUGAGAAAAUCAAUACACCAAUCAGUUGGCAUGGCACCAUAUUUCGUGGUCUUUGGUCAGCACAUGAUUUUACAUGGCCAAGAUUACAAAAUGUUGCGAGAAGUCGAAUUACUCAACGAGGGCGAGGGAAAAUUGUCAAGAGCUGACGAAUUUCAGAAGAUUCGCUCAAACAUCGAGAAACACCUGACAAAAGCUUACAAGAGAAAUCAACGCACUUACGACCUGAGAUCCAAGCCUCGUUCGUUUCAGGUGGGUCAAGAAGUAAUAAAGAGAAAUUUUUCUUUGAGUAGCGCGUCCAAUAACGUUAACGCUAAACUAGCUCCAGUUGGAGUGAAGGCUCGCGUAAAGCAGAAAUGUGGCCAACUGAUUUAUCUACUGGAAGACUUGAACGGUAAAGAGCUGGGGAAAUUUCACAUUAAGGAUAUUUGGUAACUAGAGACAAAAGUCUGCACCCUUCCUUGUUGUUGUUUCAGUUUUAUCUUUGGUCAAAACCCUAAGAUAAAAUCUGGCGGGGGGGUGUGAAGGUUGCAGACCAAGACAAAAGGUUAGAAUGUCUGUUUUUUUUUUGGGGAACAGUCUUCUAAUUUUAUCAAGAAAAUAUUGAACCUCCCCCACUGUACGCAUUCCAGCGAGAGCCCACAUGUAAGAUCAGAAGCUGUUAUCUUGAAAAGCUCUCUCUUUCGAAAUUGCAUGUGCGAGCACCGUUCACAUGUGAGCUUUUCUCUCUGCAAACAUAGCUUACGGCUAGCCCUUCGAGAACCUUCUUAGCUCUCUCAUACACAGCUUUUGGAGGGGUAAAAUAGUUAGGCUAAGUGCAUGCUGCACAGAACAAAAAUUGCAUUCAAGGUUUGAAGACUUAAUUGAUGUGCGUGUAGAAAAUAUACAAAAACAAAAAAAAACGUGGUGAAAAGUUUGCAAAACCAUAAAAGGGAACAUAACCCAAAUAAAAAAACAAUAUAAAAGUGUUGUGGCUGCAAGACGAAACAAAAAAACCAACCCCUGGAUAAGGUACGCCAAGAAAAAAAUGAAAAAGUGACCUUAUUACAUAAUUCCAUGUAUGUACUGUACAUAGGUUAUGAUCCACGUGUGGCAGGAAAUUGCUGACCUGGCCUGACCCUCGGUCUCGGAGGGGGGGUCCGCUCCAGUACCACGAUCAUCCGUCCCUCUUUUUGGUGCCACCGGACCUUGCCUGCAGGCGAAAAAAACGGAUGGACCUGGCGAUCGGGACCGAGUUGUUUAUAUACAUAUAUCUCACGCGCAACUAUAAAACCAUCUAUUAUAUUAUAUCACCGCGCCUUGUGUAAAGAAAUGUUGGUGCUUGCAUAUGUAGGGUGUGGAAAAAUUAGCUCAGCGGUCAUUGCCCUUGCGGCUGACCAUACACCUAUGCGCACUUAAAUAGACCCACCUGACCGUAUGUCACCUAUUCUCUCCUUCUCUCAGGUUAUUAAAAUUGUUCGAUGCCGACAUUCUAAAAGCCACUUAAGGGAAGAAAAGUAAAUCACAAAAAUCUAGAAAAGAAAAUAAUGAAAAAUCAUGGAGAGAAGAAAAAAAAUAGAAAAGAAAAUUGUUCAAUAAUAUUAAAUAUUCCUAGACAUUAACUUAGAAAUAGAAGAAGAAAAACAUGAAAUUUAUGCGUAGUUAAUAAUAGAUUCUAAAGGGUGCAUCAUCGGUCUCAUUGUGUC